rnacentral:lncRNA from 1 species
AGGUAAUGCUGCUCUUGUAUCUGUUCUCAGCAUCUUCUGUAGCUAUUUACAGACUAGAAAGACCCCUAAUGAAUGCAGUGGAGCACAGUUCAAGCCACUCAGCUCCAGUCUGCACCUUCCGGAGACUCAGGAAGCAGUGCCAAGAAUCUACAAACUCUUCUCCAAAAUGGUUACCCUCUUGGAACAAGAAACAGCUUGUCAAAAUCCCAUCUUUCAUAAUGGAAUUUGCUACUUCUUGAUGGAGCAGGAUGCUUUCUGCAGCAGUGUUAUACACUUACAAGGCAUGAAUCAAUUUACAUUUUAAUCAUGGGGGGCCCAUACCAUCAACUGGUAAGAGUGCUUUUAAUUUACCUGAACUCAGUCAUUGGGUUGAUCCCAGCAGAUUUGCCUCUAUGGCAACACCUGCUUUUAUCAUGACAUCUCUUGAGUAUUCAGCCUCCAUAAAAAUAAAUAAAUUCUCCUGAAACUGUGCUAAAUUCCU